rnacentral:tRNA from 1 species
GGGCUGAUAGCUCAGUUGGUAGAGCACCGCCUUUGCAAGGCGGGGGUCUGGGGUUCGAAUCCCCAUCAGUCCACCA